rnacentral:rRNA from 1 species
AAGACCUUGCGCUUUUGGAGCGGCCGAUGCCUGAUUAGCUUGUUGGUAAGGUAAAAGCUUACCAAGGCUUCGAUCAGUAGCUGGUCUGAGAGGACGGCCAGCCACACUGGGACUGAGACACGGCCCAGACUCCUACGGGAGGCAGCAGUGGGGAAUUUUGGACAAUGGGGGCAACCCUGAUCCAGCCAUGCCGCGUGAGUGAAGAAGGCCUUCGGGUUGUAAAGCUCUUUCAGCCGGAACGAAACGGUUACGGUUAAUACCCGUGAUUACUGACGGUACCGGAAGAAGAAGCACCGGCUAACUACGUGCCAGCAGCCGCGGUAAUACGUAGGGUGCGAGCGUUAAUCGGAAUUACUGGGCGUAAAGCGUGCGCAGGUGGUUUUGUAAGUCAGAUGUGAAAGCCCUGGGCUCAACCUGGGAACU